CAGCUAUAUCUUGUUGAAACACCAGUUUCUGUACGAUCACUGAAGUUAAGCAACAUUGAGCCUGGUCAUUACCUAGAUGGGUGACCACUUAGAAAUAUCAGGUGUUGUAUU